ACACCAUCGCCCCUACAGCCUACAUUACCACCCCAACAUCUUUUACAAAUGCUUCCAAUGUUUCAGUGGACAUAACUUUCACUGAGCCAUGUUGGAGCCAAGGUGGUUUCGGAUGUGCUUCCACGAAUUCUUGCAAUCUUCUCGUUUAUGGAGCUGGACAGGUCGUGCCAAACACACUCAAUGUUAUUGAGCCAGACCUCAAAUUUUCUGUUGUCGUGAGUCUGUCUACACGUGAUCAGUAUGGAAGAGUGAUCUUGGUAAUGGAUAAAAACUUCUGUUCGGACCCUGCUGGAAACAAAUUUAAAAGGACAGACA
rnacentral:misc_RNA from 1 species